rnacentral:tRNA from 3 species
GGAAGCGUGGCCGAGCGGUUUAAGGCACCGGUCUUGAAAACCGGCGAUGGGGAGACCCAUCCGUGAGUUCGAAUCUCACCGCUUCCGCCA